GACGAACGCUGGCGGCGUGCUUAACACAUGCAAGUCGAACGGUGAAGCGCCUUCCUUUUUGGUGGGUGUGGAUGAGUGGCGAACGGGUGAGUAACACGUGAGUAACCUGCCCCCUUCUUCUGGAUAACCGCAUGAAAGUGUGGCUAAUACGGGAUAUUCUGGGUCUGUCGCAUGAUGGGUCUGGGAAAGAUAUUGUUUCGGUGGGGGAUGGGCUCGCGGCCUAUCAGCUUGUUGGUGGGGUGAUGGCCUACCAAGGCGGUGACGGGUAGCCGGCCUGAGAGGGUGGACGGUCACACUGGGACUGAGACACGGCCUAGACUCCUACGAGAGGCAGCAGUGGGGAAUAUUGCACAAUGGGCGCAAGCCUGAUGCAGCGACGCCGCGUGAGGGAUGGAGGCCUUCGGGUUGUGAACCUCUUUCGCCAGUGAAGCAGGCCUGCCUCGUUUGUGGGUGGGUUGACGGUAGCUGGAUAAGAAGCGCCGGCUAACUACGUG
rnacentral:rRNA from 1 species